GAUGAACGCUAGCUACAGGCUUAACACAUGCAAGUCGAGGGGAAACGACAUCGAAAGCUUGCUUUUGAUGGGCGUCGACCGGCGCACGGGUGAGUAACGCGUAUCCAACCUGCCCAUCACUUGGGGAUAACCUUGCGAAAGUAAGACUAAUACCCAAUGAUAUCUCUAGAAGACAUCUGAAAGAGAUUAAAGAUUUAUAGGUGAUGGAUGGGGAUGCGUCUGAUUAGCUUGUUGGCGGGGUAACGACCCACCAAGGCGACGAUCAGUAGGGGUUCUGAGAGGAAGGUCCCCCACAUUGGAACUGAGACACGGUCCAAACUCCUACGGGAGGCAGCAGUGAGGAAUAUUGGUCAAUGGGCGAGAGCCUGAACCAGCCAAGUAGCGUGCAGGAAGACGGCCCUAUGGAUUGUAAACUGCUUUUAUAAGGGAAUAAAGUGAGUCUCGUGAGACUUUUUGCAUGUACCUUAUGAAUAAGGACCGGCUAAUUCCGUGCCAGCCGCCGCGGUAA
rnacentral:rRNA from 1 species